GGAAUGUGUAUUGUGGUCUCAAGACUUGCCCCAAACUGACCUGUGCAUUCCCAGUCUCUGUUCCAGAUUCCUGCUGCCGAGUAUGCAGAGGGGAUGGAGAAUUAUCAUGGGAACAUUCUGAUGCUGAUAUCUUCCGGCAACCUGCCAACAGAGAAGCAAGACAUUCUUACCUCCGUUCCCCCUACGAUCCUCCACCAAGCAGACAAGCUGGAGGUCUUCCCCGCUUUGCUGGGAGCAGAAGUCACCGGGGAGCUGUCAUUGAUUCUCAGCAAGCAUCAGGGACCAUCGUGCAGAUCGUCAUCAAUAACAAGCACAAACAUGGACAAGUGUGUGUUUCCAAUGGAAAGACCUAUUCUCACGGAGAAUCCUGGCAUCCAAAUCUACGAGCUUUUGGCAUUGUGGAAUGUGUUCUAUGCACUUGUAAUGUCACCAAGCAAGAAUGUAAGAAAAUCCACUGCCCCAAUCGAUACCCCUGCAAGUAUCCUCAAAAAUUAGAUGGAAAGUGCUGCAAGGUGUGCCCAGGUAAAAAGGCAAAAGGUGCAUUGGCUGGAGGCCCUGCCUUUGGUUGAAUGAGAUUCAGACGUAGUCCUAUUCAGUCUUCUUUGUGCAUCAAAGCUAUAAAUGACCUGUCAUAUAGUUCUAACGAUAAUAGUUCUAGCAAGAAUGAACUUCAUCCUUUCCUCUUCUGAGACACUGAUGGUUGCUUUGAAGGAAUUAACUACUCAGAGUUUCUUUUGUCUACAACCUCAAACACAUGCCAAAUUGCUUAACUCGUUCUGGCUUUUCUAAAUUAGAGCAUUUACUGUUGCAGACCAUUAUCACUGUUUUAGGGAAAGUCACAUCGUUCACGUUUUAAAUCACUGACUAACUCACUUCAAGACAUAAUCCAGUUCUCUUUUACAGAUGAGAUAUGCAUGAGUUACAGUGGAGAGAAAUUAGGUUCUGAUCCAAAUCUAAGGUUAUUAUAUGACCUUGAAAAUACAUCAAAUCAAUAUGUAUCAAACCCCAUGUGAAAAAUUAAAAAGUUUGUUACUGUGCUCCAUAACUAUAUUUUAAUUUGCAAUUUCUUUUUAAAAUUUUUGAGACAUGGUAUCUGUAUAUAUUUAUGGGGGUAC
rnacentral:lncRNA from 1 species